rnacentral:misc_RNA from 1 species
AAGUCGUAACAAGGUUUCCGUAGGUGAACCUGCGGAAGGAUCAUUAAAAAAAUUUAUCCUAAAUUUUGGAUUCUACCCCAAAUGUGAUAAUUAUUGGCCUUGAAAACUUGGGGAUUAAAAAUGUCGGGAUGAAGCCGAAAGGUUUUGUUCAAACGACCCCGAAUUCAUCAAAACUCGCUUUAAAAUUUGACUGAAAAUAUAUAAUUUUAUAUAAUUAUCAAUUUGAUAAUCAAAUAAAACUUUCAACAACGGAUCUCUUGGUUCUC